GGUUUUCUGCAUUGCAGGCAGAUUCUUUACCGUCUGAGCCGCCAGGGAAGCCCGACAGGCAUGGAAGAGGGUGUUAUUUUAAUCCCACAUUAUGAAUGAGGAAACUGGAGUUGAGGGUUAACUGACUUGCCCGAGAUUCCAAGAGACUGGGUGUAGAGAAGAUGCUUCUGGCCGCACCUGAAUGAGGGCAAAGCCAGACGACAAGAUAACAAACAGCCCCAGUUUGUGCUGUGACUCAGCCCCCACCAGCUGGAUUGCAGCAACCCCAGCUCCUUGCCUGCCUCUGACUCAGAUGAAGGACAUCCUUGUCCCGUGGAACAUCUGGCUCCCAGGUCCUGAGCCUCGGCAGAGGGAUGGUGGUUCCUCUCAUUACCAGUUUUUCACCGUGGUCUCAGCAGUUCCUUUGCGGCAGGCAGCCUGCUUGCUGUUUCUAGAACUGAGCCAAACCCAGCCCCCUCCGACCCGGCCUCCUUACCUCUUUGCUUCCCCACUGGCUGCAUGAGGAGCCCACGCAGGGAAGGAAGAAUGCCCAAGUGACGAGCCAGGUCAUACCCCAUCACAGGCUGGCUAGAUUGCUGUAUAUGGUUUUAAGUCCCCUGCAGACCAAGGCCAAGAAACGAGGUCCAGCCUCCUCUGCCCUUCUCAGGUCACACGAGGGACAAGCCCACAGGGCAUCCAUCGCAGCCCCUCUUGCUUUGGCAGUGGCCACCUUUACCCCUCCCAGGCCCUGUCCCCAGAGCUCAAUCAGCAGAUCCAUCUCCACACUCUAUGUUUUCCAUUAGAUUUCUCCCACAAUAGUCUCGUCCUUGGACUUCCCAGGUGGCACUAGCAGUAAAGAAACUGCCCGCCAGUGCUGGAGAUGGAAGAGACACAGAUCAGAGAACAGAAUGCAGCCUCGAGAUGAGAUGGCUUGUCCAGCAUCACACAGAAGAUAGGACCCAGUGUGUGUUCAUGCAUGUUAAGUCAAUUCAGUCAUGUCCAGCUCUUUGUGACCCCGUGGACUGUAGCCCACAGGCUCCUCUGUCCGUGGAAUUCUCCAGGCAAGAACACUGGAGUAGGUUUCUGUGCCCUCCUCCAGGGGCUCCUCGUGACCCAGGGAUCAAACCCAUGUCUCUUGCUUUGGCAGUUGUGUUAUUUACCACUUUCAGUACCUGGGAAGCCCAGGAGGUCCCAGAGUGGGGCUUCUCUAUGCUGUACAUCAGAGUUUCGACCUCGGCACUAUGGAUGUUUUGAGUGGAAUAAUUAUUUGUUUUGGAGGGCUGUCCUGUACAUCGAAGCAUGUGUAGCAACAUCCCUGGCUUCUACUCACUACACGUCAGCAGCACGCCUCUCCCCACUUUGGGGUAACCAGAAACGUCUUCAGUCAUUGCUAAGUGUUCUCUGGGGGGUAAAAUCAGCUCUAGCUGAGAGCCCUUUCAGAUCCAUUGAACAGCAUGAAGCUGGUGCUGAGUUUUCUCCUGGCAGUUUGGGAGGGAAACUGGCCUUGGGUCCAAGAGGAGAAAGCCUUUCCUCCCAAUUGUACCAUCCCAGUACCUUGGGGAGAGCUAUCUGGGGCCCCUGAUCUCAGCCAAGAGAGGACAGCUCUCAGAGAGGCGGGGAAAGGGGUCCGAGGGCACGCAGCAGGGCAGCCAGGCCUUCUGAGAGUGUGUGUCACUCCCCCAUCUCACAGAUGGUCAGCGGGUCAGCAGCGCACAUAGAACCGAGUGUGGUUUCUCCUCCACACGCCAUAAGGAGCCCCCGACAGUAUGCAGGCUGUGUGCGCUGAGCCCGAAAGCAGUAACAUCAGAGGGCUCCGCCUGUGUGCUCUUUGUUAGUUACAGGAGGCGUGUAUUAAUAUGAAGCUGUGUUCUGGAAAGUUGGGUCUGGCCUUGGCCCUGACUCUUACCUGACAUGGGACCCAAAGCAAUGUCUUUUGAGGAUUUUUGUCC
ensembl:lncRNA